rnacentral:lncRNA from 1 species
GGACCAAAGCUUUUCCAGAAAUGAAGAGAAUGCUGACGUAUAAUAAUUUGCUCCUGUAGCAGCUUGCUAGUAGUUCACAGCAAAUCUUUUAAUUAAGCAUGGAAUAUGGAAAACAGCAGAAAAAACUUCUGCUAGUGCUUUAGUCUCAUCUGAAAUUCUAUGGCUGUGCUUCAAAGUAAGAGGGAGGAAUGUAAGCUUUAUCAAAUAUGC